rnacentral:misc_RNA from 1 species
AAGUCGUAACAAGGUUUCCGUAGGUGAACCUGCGGAAGGAUCAUUAACACGUAUCCAACGUUAAACCCCCUGUGAACUUUAAGUCCUGCACCCGGAAACUUUUCAAACAGCAAUCCCUAAAUCAUGGUCGAACAGUUGACCUCUGGUUGAAGAGCGUACGUAUUGAGACGGUUUGAGAGGCGUCAAUCAUCAAAUGAAAGUGUUGAUGCUUGUGAAAGGAUAACGCUUCUCGGUCGCUGGAGAUAUCUUGGUUCUC